UUAUAUUUUGAUCAUAUUGAUUGGUUGUUGUAACAAUCUCUGUUUUGACAGCUGACUACCGUGGACCUCAUUCUCAUGUGCAGUACAGCGCGGAAAGUUGAAUGAAUAACUAAAUAACGCAGCUAGCCUAAAUAUUCGGAUGAUGACCUCACAGUGAACCGGCGGUCCCGUUGUCGGAAGGCCCUGAGAGACAGUGACAGCGAGGAGGAGGUGCAUGAGAUGGCAGAGGCUCUGGUCCUGUCAGCAUCCAGCGGAGAUGAGAUGGAGACUGCUGAGGAAGAGGUCAAAAGGGCAGAAUUAAAGAGCAAGAAGGUAUCCCGGAUAGCCCCUAUCGACAGUGAUGAGAGUGCGCCAGAGAAGGAGGAAGGGCUGGUAAAAAAGGAUGUGGUAGGGAAGCGGGAGAAGAGCCAGAGACACAGAGAGAAGAAAGAGAAGUGCAGCAAAGCUGUGGAGCGACUGAAGAAGAAAGUGAGACCUGAGGAGGAGACCCCUUUGCCCGUGCUCAGAAUGACAGCGGCUGUCUCCUUGGUGACAAUGACCUAUAUGACGCUGGUCUGGAUGAUGAUGAAGAGGAAGAGUCUCUGGACGCCAUCAGAGCAGCAGUAAAGCAGAAAGCCAAGAAGCACAAGGAGCCUUUAUUUGAUGAUGAUGAUGAUGAGGAGGAAGAUGAUGAGGCUGGACCGAAACAGCGUCCCCAGGAGAGGAAGGCAGCUCGAGCCAGCAAGGAGGCCAUGAAGCAGCUGCACAGUGAGACCCAGAGGCUGGUCCGAGAAUCCACAUGUGGGCUGCCCUACCACAUGCCUGAGCCCAAGAGCAUCGACCAGUUCUUCAAGAGGAGAGCCCGACCUGAGGGUUCUGCUAUGGCACUAUUGAAGUUGGUCCGAGUCGUUAUGGCGACCCCUUCAUUUUCGCCACAUUCCGUUCCCUCUGCACCUGGCUCGCAGAAGAGACUACCUGCCUCAAGGAGGAAGAGACCGCCCUCUUGCCCUUCCUGAUGGGCUACGCCAGAAGCCAUCUGCAGGGAGAGAGUAAGGACCAGUGUCUUUCCAAUUGGAUGUCUGUACGUUACUGCUCACAGGGAGGGGCUUGGACAGGCAAAGAUGCUCUAAGGUAUCUCCUCCCAGCUCUAUGCCACCUCUCUGCAGAGGAUGCCCCAAGGAAGGUGUUAAUCACCCUGGACACCCCGGCCCUCCUCGUGAACUUCCUAAUCCAGGGAUGGGGCAACCUACAGGGGAAAGGAGGGGCAGCAUUAGCCCUGGACCCCAGUAUGGAGACAGCCUGCUCGGCCCUGCUCAACUUUGCAGUCACGGAGCCGGAGCGAGUCAGGAAGGACCCUUAUUUCAAAAGCCUUGAGUCACUGUUGAGUGAACCACUUCCUGUUCUCCUGCACAAACCUCUUGAUCCUGGCGGCCAAUCUUUGUACUCUGGGGCUCAUGAUUGGCAGGCUUAAACCGGCUCCUAAAGCUCUGGUUGAAGUAGGCCAGAGGCGGUUCUCCUCCUCAGCCCUGCGGUUCCUCCGUGGUGCCCUGGACUCCAGCUCGGGCCCAGGCCCAGUUCGGGUGAGCCCUGCCUGGGAGGAGUGGUGGGAGGAGGCUGGGGAGCUGUGGAGGCUGGGCCUGCAGGCCCUGGCAGGCUGUGUGAAGACCCAGCCCUGGAUCACGUAACCUGACCAGGAAAAAAUCCAGGCUCUUCAGCCUCUAGAGACAAAGACAAAAUGGCUGAAUAUAUCAUUAUGUUUAGUAAUGGGUUAUAUUUGCAUUGUCAUGUGCUUCCUGAUAAACAUUUCAGUUGUUUGUAAGAUGGUACGACUGUAUAUAAGCAGUCUGUUACAUGUAUGAAAGUAGACUGUAUAUAAGCAGUCUGUUACAUGUAUGAAAGUAGACUGUAUAUAAGCAGUCUGUUACAUGUAUGAAAGUAAGUAAAGCAUAAAAUAAAGAAUUAUUUUGAAAAAUA